rnacentral:lncRNA from 1 species
UGGGRCCCCUCCAUUUGCAAAGCCAGAAAAGGAGCUCAGACUCCUCUGUGCGCCCAGUCUUUCUGGCAUCUCCUUCUGCCUGCAGCUGGGAUGGAAAGGGCCCUGCUGAUGUCCUCACAGGAGCCUCAUUGUGUCGUUUUCUUUCCUUUAGUGUCUUGGCCAAGGCUUAGGGCCAGACUUCAGGCUCCCUCCUUCCUGCACCGGCCCGUUUCUUCUCCUCCAGAGAGGUUCAGAGGCCGAAGCUGAGCCUCCCACAGAAGGUGCCUCCUUGCCUAGGACUUCAGGGAAGGAUCAUGUCCCAGGUGAGUGUGGCAUUUCUUGGGACUGGGCUUCAUUUCACCAGGGAUUUCAGGAUCUUGAAGAAUGCACCCAAUCAAAAAAGAACGCAGCAGAAGCCAGGAUCUGUGAGAAUAGGAAGCGAAUGAUCGCUCAAGGCCCUGGGGAGAGCAGGGGAGAUACACUGCAAAGGUUGUCAGCGUGACAUGGCAUCCUGUCAAUGUACAUUGACAUUUCUGUAACAUUAUUAAAAAGGCUGAC